CCUACGGGAGGCAGCAGUAAGGGAUAUUGGUCAAUGGGGGAAACCCUGAACCAGCAACGCCGCGUGAGGGAAGACGGUUUUCGGAUUGUAAACCUCUGUCCUCUGUGAAGAUGAUGACGGUAGCAGAGGAGGAAGCUCCGGCUAACUACGUGCCAGCAGCCGCGGUAAUACGUAGGGAGCGAGCGUUGUCCGGAUUUAUGGGGUUUAAAGGGUGCGUAGGCGGAUUUUUAAGUCAGCGGUAAAAUGUCCGGGCUCAACCCGGGCCGGCCGUUGAAACUGGGGAUCUUGAGUGGGCGAGAAGUAUGCGGAAUUCCAUGUGUAGCGGUAAAAUGCGUAGAUAUAUGGAGGAACACCAGUGGCGAAGGCGGCUAACUGGCCUGUAACGGACGCUGAGGCACGAAAGCGUGGGGAUCAAACAGGAUUAGAUACCCUAGUAGUC
rnacentral:rRNA from 1 species